GUCGCUGGCCCACACUCCAGUAUAAUAGGUGGCGGUAAUGCACCAUAACGUUGAAGGCCAACUGCCGAUGAACCCCACAGAAGAAGACGUAUUUUCUUUCAGUUGGACAAGAAAACAUCGCACAGACACAUACGGUGUAGUAGAUUAAAGUAUAUAUUUGCACAUUUCAAUACAUGUAUCAGCUUCAUGAGCGACAAUAACAUUCUACGCGUGAAAUGGAGUCUGCUUACAAUCGGUUCGAUUCAUAUGACUUCGAGGUGGAUUUGAAUUUCCAGAGUGGUUUGAAAAAUCUUCAGGCUUCCAGCGAGGAAACUGUUUUGGGGAUUAAAUUAUUAUUUUACAAUCGAUUUGUCGAGCCCAUUGACUUGGAUGGGUACAAACAAUGGCGUGUAAGUUCUACUGCCCUGUCCUCGACAUCCUCCAUGGGUGACAACAUUGAACAGUUGGAGAAGUUCGACCACUUGACUAUUGCAGAUUCAAAUUCUGAUAUUUGUGAAAGUACCACUGGUGGGACCUCAGCGAAGACAGAUGCAGCCCUUUCAUUCGAGGAAGUGUUCCGGCUAGUCCAAGCAGGAGAGGAGGUCCCAGGCCUGUCAAAGCUGGACAUAAAACCUAAUAACCAAACUCCAACUCCCUCACAGAUGGAGAGGAGGCCAAAACCCUGGGAGAACUCUUAAGACACACAUGUGACUUGUACACAUGACUUUUUCCCCUACUGUCCACCUUUGAAGAAAAGUUCAUUUUUACCAAGCUGUUAAUAUCCUCUAAACUUGCAAUAAAAAUAUUUGCUUUUUUGCUUUUCACCAUUUGAUCAAAUAAGAUAAAAAUCGUCAUUGCAUUGCAUUGUUCCUGUAUAACUUUCUCAAUCUGAUCUGUCUAAAACAACUACAACAAACAUGUUAAAUAGUU